CGUGCGGUUCUAUUUUGUUGGUUUCUAGAAUCGCCGUAAUGAUUAAUAGGGAUAGUUGGGGGCAUUCGUAUUCAAUUGCUAGAGGUGAAAUUCUUGGAUUUAUUGAAGACGAACUACUGCGAAAGCAUUUGCCAAGGAUGUUUUCAUUGAUCAAGAACGAAGGUUAGGGGAUCGAAAACGAUCAGAUACCGUUGUAGUCUUAACAGUAAACGAUGCCGACUAGGGAUCGGACGAGGAUUUUUAAUGACUCGUUCGGCACCUGAAGAGAAAUCUUUAAGUCUAGGUUCGGGGGGGAGUAUGGUCGCAAGGCUGAAACUUAAAGGAAUUGACGGAAGGGCACCACCAGGUGUGGAGCCUGCGGCUUAAUUUGACUCAACACGGGGAAACUCACCAGGUCCAGACACGACAAGGAUUGACAGAUUGAUAGCUCUUUCUUGAUUUCGUGGUUGGUGGUGCAUGGCCGUUCUUAGUUGGUGGAGUGAUUUGUCUGGUUAAUUCCGAUAACGAACGAGACCUUAACCUGCUAAAUAGCCCGGCCGACUUUGGUUGGUCGCUGGCUUCUUAGAGGGACUAUCAGCGUUUAGCUGAUGGAAGUUUGAGGCAAUAACAGGUCUGUGAUGCCCUUAGAUGUUCUGGGCUGCACGCGCGCUACACUGACCGAACCAGCGAGUUUAUCACCUUGGCCGGAAGGCCUGGGUAAUCUUGUGAAACUCGGUCGUGA
rnacentral:rRNA from 1 species